rnacentral:rRNA from 1 species
UACGUAGGGGGCAAGCGUUGUCCGGAAUCAUUGGGCGUAAAGAGCGUGUAGGCGGUCCGGUCAGUCGGUUGUGAAAGUCAAGGGCUCAACCCUUGAAUGCCGGCCGAUACUGCCGGGCUAGAGUCCGGAAGAGGUGAGUGGAAUUCCGAGUGUAGAGGUGAAAUUCGUAGAUAUUCGGAGGAACACCAGUGGCGAAGGCGGCUCACUGGUCCGGUACUGACGCUGAGGUGCGAAAGCGUGGGGAGCAAACAGG